rnacentral:rRNA from 1 species
GAUGAACGCUAGCGGCAGGCUUAAUACAUGCAAGUCGUGGGGCAGCAGGUUUGUAGCAAUACAGAUGCUGGCGACCGGCAAACGGGUGCGGAACACGUACAGAACCUUCCUUUGAGCGGGGAAUAGCCCAGAGAAAUUUGGAUUAAUACCCCAUAGUAUAAUGAAGUGGCAUCACUUUAUUAUUAAAGAUUUAUCACUCGAAGAUGGCUGUGCGGCUGAUUAGGUAGUUGGCGGGGUAAAGGCCCACCAAGCCUGCGAUCAGUAACUGGUGUGAGAGCACGACCAGUCACACGGGCACUGAGACACGGGCCCGACUCCUACGGGAGGCAGCAGUAAGGAAUAUUGGUCAAUGGAGGCAACUCUGAACCAGCCAUGCCGCGUGGAGGAUGAAGGUCCUCUGGAUUGUAAACUUCUUUUAUAUGGGACGAAAAAAGGCUUUUCUAAGUCGUCUGACGGUACCAUAUGAAUAAGCACCGGCUAACUACGUGCC